UCUUUGAAAGGAAUACACUCCAUGCAGCCAUGCUUAGAGACCAAGUUUCUUCUUGCUCCUAGAGGGUAAAGGAUUCACCGAGCAACAAUGGUUUUAGAAUGCAUCUCUGAUUCUCAAAUCGUGGACAAUUAAGUCAUACUUUUACGCAGAGGACUGCAAAAAUCUUUCUUACAGAUUGGUUGGCUUAAGGAAAUGUAAAGUGAAAAACUGUAAACAUGAUGUACCA